rnacentral:rRNA from 1 species
GAUGAACGCUGGCGGCGUGCCUAAUACAUGCAAGUCGAGCGAACAGACGAGGAGCUUGCUCCUCUGACGUUAGCGGCGGACGGGUGAGUAACACGUGGAUAACCUACCUAUAGGACUGGGAUAACUUCGGGAAACCGGAGCUAAUACCGGAUAAUAUAUUGAACCGCAUGGUUCAAUAGUGAAAGACGGUUUUGCUGUCACUUAUAGAUGGAUCCGCGCCGCAUUAGCUAGUUGGUAAGGUAACGGCUUACCAAGGCAACGAUGCGUAGCCGACCUGAGAGGGUGAUCGGCCACACUGGAACUGAGACACGGUCCAGACUCCUACGGGAGGCAGCAGUAGGGAAUCUUCCGCAAUGGGCGAAAGCCUGACGGAGCAACGCCGCGUGAGUGAUGAAAGUCUUCGGAUCGUAAAACUCUGUUAUUAGGGAAGAACAAAUGUGUAAGUAACUAUGCACGUCUUGACGGUACCUAAUCAGAAAGCCACGGCUAACUACGUG